rnacentral:rRNA from 1 species
UCUAACAUGUGCGCGAGUCAUUGGGUUCGUCAGCGAAACCCAGAGGCGCAGYGAAAGUGAAGGCCGCCNNGAGGCGGUCGAGGGAGGACGGCCCCNGUUCCCGGUGUGGUGNCCGUACUCCCGGGACGUCUCGCCCUCACCGCGAGGAGAGACGCACCCAGAGCGUACACGUUGGGACCCGAAAGAUGGUGAACUAUGCCUGGCCAGGACGAAGUCAGGGGAAACCCUGAUGGAGGUCCGUAGCGAUUCUGACGUGCAAAUCGAUCGUCAGAGCUGGGUAUAGGGGCGAAAGACUAAUCGAA